GAUGAACGCUGGCAGCGUGCCUAAUACAUGCAAGUCGAGCGAAUGGAUUAAGAGCUUGCUCUUAUGAAGUUAGCGGCGGACGGGUGAGUAACACGUGGGUAACCUGCCCAUAAGACUGGGAUAACUCCGGGAAACCGGGGCUAAUACCGGAUAACAUUUUAAACCGCAUGGUUCGAAAUUGAAAGGCGGCUUCGGCUGUCACUUAUGGAUGGACCCGCGUCGCAUUAGCUAGUUGGUGAGGUAACGGCUCACCAAGGCAACGAUGCGUAGCCGACCUGAGAGGGUGAUCGGCCACACUGGGACUGAGACACGGGCCAGACUCCUACGGGAGGCAGCAGUAGGGAAUCUUCCGCAAUGGACGAAAGUCUGACGGAGCAACGCCGCGUGAGUGAUGAAGGCUUUCGGGUCGUAAAACUCUGGUGUUAGGGAAGAACAAGUGCUAGUUGAAUAAGCUGGCACCUUGACGGUACCUAACCAGAAAGCCACGGCUAACUACGUGCCAGCAGCCGCAGUAA
rnacentral:rRNA from 1 species